rnacentral:rRNA from 1 species
AACGAACGCUGGCGGCAGGCCUAACACAUGCAAGUCGAGCGAAGCCUUCGGGCUUAGCGGCGGACGGGUGAGUAACGCGUGGGAACGUGCCCUUUGGUACGGAAUAGCCCCGGGAAACUGGGAGUAAUACCGUAUGUGGUCGAGAGACGAAAGAUUUAUCGCCAAAGGAUCGGCCCGCGUUGGAUUAGGUAGUUGGUGGGGUAAUGGCCUACCAAGCCGACGAUCCAUAGCUGGUUUGAGAGGAUGAUCAGCCACACUGGGACUGAGACACGGCCCAGACUCCUACGGGAGGCAGCAGUGGGGAAUCUUAGACAAUGGGGGAAACUCUGAUCUAGCCAUGCCGCGCGAUCGAUGAAGGCCUUAGGGUUGUAAAGAUCUUUCAGUGGGGAAGAUAAUGACUGUACCCACAGAAGAAGCCCCGGCUAACUCCGUGCCAGCAGCCGCCGUAAUAC